UUAUUUCCACUACUUGGUAUUUUCAUUUGACUGCCAUCAUCUCCAUCCAUCUCAGUCGAAACUAAUCGAACUCAUCACCAAUUUUAUCGCUCCCACCACCGCGAUAUUUAUUGCCACCACCGCGAUCAGCAACACCACCUCCGCCUCUACUAUUAGCAUAUUUACCAUGUGUUUUGUGUUCGUUUUUUAACCUAUUUCAAUUUGUUAUUGAUUGUUCUUAAUCUUCAAAACCAAAUUGACAGAUUCAUUUGAUUUUUUUUUGUUUUCAAUUUGGUAAUUUUCAACAAUCAAAAUCCAAUUUCUCUUCUUCUAGUCAUCACAAACAUUGAAUGAAUACAGAGAUUCAACAAAAAUUUGUGUGUUGUUCUUUUGAUUUUUAGAUCAAUUUUGGGGAUUUUUCUUAGGUUUUGAUUUUGUUUUAGAUCGAAAUAAGAAGAAGAAAGGAUUGCAUCUCAUGCAGAUGUUGAUCAUCAGAUCGAACAUUUAAUUGGAUUUUGUUAUUUGUUACACAAGACAAAUUUGUAUUUAGUCAGUAUACUAUUUAUCAAACCUCUGAUUUCACUAGUGAUAAUGGUGGUGCUGGUGGCGGCGUUGGUGGAGGAGGAUAUCCACUAUACAUUUUGCCAAGUUGUUGUUGUUAAUGAUGAUAUAGGUGAUGGUCGUGGCGGUGGUGGAGGAGGAAAUCAAAUCUCUUUUUUUUAGAUGAUGAUAGUGGUGGUGGUGGUGGUGGUGGUGGAGGAGGAGGAGGAUAUCAGAUCCACGUUUCUCACUCAAAAUCUAAACCUAAGAAGAAUUUUAACGUAAGGAAUCCUAAUUAUACCGAUAACAAUUUCAACAAGGUCUCUCCUCCCAACACAAUAAGUAAUCUCUUUUUCUGAAAAAAAAUUCUAACUUUAGGAUUUGAAUUUAAUCAAUAGUUCAAUCUUCUGAAAAUUACUUGAAAUUGCUGAAAUCAAAAGGAUUGCAGGAUUGUUGGCUCAUCCUUGAUGGGAAGAUAAAACUUCUUGGGUAGUCACUUUAUGUAAGCUGCUGUUUUCGUAUAUAAAAGAAAAAUAUCAUCAUAUGAGUGGUUGAAGAACAGAUCAAUUAAGGAUUACAAGUAUAUCAAUCUGGUUUACAAUGUGACAAACUACUUAGAUGAUCAUCCUCGUGGUGACAAUGUUCUUGUUAAUGCAACAUGCAUCAUUUCUUAGUCCAAUCUUAACAUGUUCCUUCAAUGAGAAUAAGUAAUGGCGGUGCUGGACUGGCGGUAAUAGUGGUGUUGUUGGAGUCGGAGUUGGUGGUUUGCUAUUGGUAUUGGUGGUGAAGAGAGAAGGUGGCUUGCUGUUGGGUUGAGGUGUAUUAGACGAACUUGUGGUGUAAUGGUAACACACCUGGCUCCACGUCAGAAGAUGCAUGUUCGAAUCACGUCAGGUUUACUAAUUUUAGUACAUCAAUUUUAUGGAUCAACUUUGAUUGUUGACGCCAGAUUUUGGGAUCAAUUUUGGUUGUUGACCCAUUCACUGGGAUCAACUUCCAUUGUUGACCCCAGUGAAUGGGAUCACCUCCAUUGUUGACCCAAAAAAGUUGGAGUAUUUUUCACUUAUUGUAUCAACAAAAGAAAUCAAUCAACUUUGGUUGUUGACACCAUAUUAUGAUGUUAAAUUCGGUUGUUGAGGCCAUAUUUUUUUAUAUUUAUUUAUUUUAUUUUUGAUUUUUUUCUUUGAGGAUCAACUUCGGUUGUUGACACCAGAUUUUGGAUCAAUUUCGGUUGUUGAUGCCAUAUUGUUUUGUUAUGAGCUUUUGAUUUUUGUUUUUGGGGAUCAACUUCGGUUGUUGACACCAGAUUUUGGGAUUAACUUCGGUUUGUUGACGCCAUAUUAUUAUCUAUUUAUCAUUUUUUUGGUUUUUGUUUUGGAGGUCAACUACAGUUGUUGACACCGGAUUUUGGGAUCAAUUUCGGUUGUUGGCACCAUAUUACCUUUUCACGAUCUUUUUUUUUUUAUUUUUGUUUUAGGAUCAACUUCAGUUGUUGACACCAGAUUCCGGGGUCAACUUUGGUUGUUGACAUUAUAUAUUUUUUUUUCUUUUUUCUUUUCUGAUUUUUGUUUUCGGGGAUCAACUUAGAUUGUUGACGCCACUGGCGGCGUGGCGGUGGCGGCGGGUGACGGGCGGUGGUGGCGUUGGUGUUCCGGUGGUGGGGUACUAGUGGUGGUGGCGGUUGGUAAGUGGUGGUGGAAUGAUAGUUGAAUAUUGGUGGUGAUGAUGGGAUAUUUGGUGGUGCUAGUGGUGGUGGUAGCGGUGAAAUGGUAGAUACAAAUUUUUGUUGUAUAUUAAAAUAAACAAAUAUAUUAUAUGAGUGAGGGUAUUAAGGUAAUCUAAUUUUUAAUGGA